rnacentral:pre_miRNA from 1 species
UGAACAACGGACCGUCGGUCUACCGAGGAAUAUCACCCGCCCGGUGGAAGAUCUACCCUCCGUAGU